rnacentral:rRNA from 1 species
AGAGUUUGACCAUGGCUCAGAUUGAACGCUGGCGGCAGGCCUAACACAUGCAAGUCGAACGGUAACAGGAAGCAGCUUGCUGCUUCGCUGACGAGUGGCGGACGGGUGAGUAAUGUCUGGGAAGCUGCCUGAUGGAGGGGGAUAACUACUGGAAACGGUAGCUAAUACCGCAUAAUGUCGCAAGACCAAAGAGGGGGACCUUCGGGCCUCUUGCCAUCGGAUGUGCCCAGAUGGGAUUAGCUUGUUGGUGGGGUAACGGCUCACCAAGGCGACGAUCCCUAGCUGGUCUGAGAGGAUGACCAGCCACACUGGAACUGAGACACGGUCCAGACUCCUACGGGAGGCAGCAGUGGGGAAUAUUGCACAAUGGGCGCAAGCCUGAUGCAGCCAUGCCGCGUGUAUGAAGAAGGCCUUCGGGUUGUAAAGUACUUUCAGCGGGGAGGAAGGGAGUAAAGUUAAUACCUUUGCUCAUUGACGUUACCCGCAGAAGAAGCACCGGCUAACUCCGUGCCAGCAGCCGCGGUAAUACGGAGGGUGCAAGCGUUAAUCGGAAUUACUGGGCGUAAAGCGCACGCAGGCGGUUUGUUAAGUCAGAUGUGAAAUCCCCGGGCUCAACCUGGGAACUGCAUCUGAUACUGGCAAGCUUGAGUCUCGUAGAGGGGGGUAGAAUUCCAGGUGUAGCGGUGAAAUGCGUAGAGAUCUGGAGGAAUACCGGUGGCGAAGGCGGCCCCCUGGACGAAGACUGACGCUCAGGUGCGAAAGCGUGGGGAGCAAACAGGAUUAGAUACCCUGGUAGUCCACGUCGUAAACGAUGUCGACUUGGAGAUUGUGCCCUUGAGGCGUGGCUUCCGGAGCUAACGCGUUAAGUCGACCGCCUGGGGAGUACGGCCGCAAGGUUAAAACUCAAAUGAAUUGACGGGGGCCCGCACAAGCGGUGGAGCAUGUGGUUUAAUUCGAUGCAACGCGAAGAACCUUACCUGGUCUUGACAUCCACGGAAGUUUUCAGAGAUGAGAAUGUGCCUUCGGGAACCGUGAGACAGGUGCUGCAUGGCUGUCGUCAGCUCGUGUUGUGAAAUGUUGGGUUAAGUCCCGCAACGAGCGCAACCCUUAUCCUUUGUUGCCAGCGGUCCGGCCGGGAACUCAAAGGAGACUGCCAGUGAUAAACUGGAGGAAGGUGGGGAUGACGUCAAGUCAUCAUGGCCCUUACGACCAGGGCUACACACGUGCUACAAUGGCGCAUACAAAGAGAAGCGACCUCGCGAGAGCAAGCGGACCUCAUAAAGUGCGUCGUAGUCCGGAUUGGAGUCUGCAACUCGACUCCAUGAAGUCGGAAUCGCUAGUAAUCGUGGAUCAGAAUGCCACGGUGAAUACGUUCCCGGGCCUUGUACACACCGCCCGUCACACCAUGGGAGUGGGUUGCAAAAGAAGUAGGUAGCUUAACCUUCGGGAGGGCGCUUACCACUUUGUGAUUCAUGACUGGGGUGAAGUCGGAACAAGGUA